rnacentral:rRNA from 1 species
GGGUUGUGAGGUUAAGCGACUAAGCGUACACGGUGGAUGCCCUGGCAGUCAGAGGCGAUGAAGGACGUGCUAAUCUGCGAUAAGCGUCGGUAAGGUGAUAUGAACCGUUAUAACCGGCGAUUUCCGAAUGGGGAAACCCAGUGUGAUUCGUCACACUAUCAUUAACUGAAUCCAUAGGUUAAUGAGGCGAACCGGGGGAACUGAAACAUCUAAGUACCCCGAGGAAAAGAAAUCAACCGAGAUUCCCCCAGUAGCGGCGAGCGAACGGGGAGCAGCCCAGAGCCUGAAUCAGUGUGUGUGUUAGUGGAAGCGUCUGGAAAGGCGCGCGAUACAGGGUGACAGCCCCGUACACAAAAAUGCACAUGCUGUGAGCUCGAUGAGUAGGGCGGG